rnacentral:rRNA from 1 species
GAUGAACGCUGGCGGCGUGCCUAAUACAUGCAAGUCGAGCGGAAAGACGAGGAGCUUGCGCGUCUGACGUUAGCGGCGGGCGGGUGAGUAACACGUGGAUCACCUCCCUAUAAGACGGGGAUAACUACGGAAAACGGGCGAUAAUACCGGAGAAUAUAUUGAACCGCAUGGUGGAUUGGUAAAAUACGGUUUUGCUGUAAGUUAUAGAUGGAUCCGCGCCGCUUGAGCUUGUUGGUAAGGUAACGGCUUACCAAGGCAACGAUGCGUAGCCGAGGUGAGAGGGUGAUCGGCCCCACUGGAACUGGGACCCGGUCCAGACUCCUACGGGAGGCAGCAGUAGGGAAUCUUCCGCCAUGGGCGAAAGCCUGACGGAGCAGCGCCGCGUGAGUGAUGAAGGUCUUCGGAUCGUAAAACUCUGUUAUUGGGGAAGAACAAAUUUGUAAGUGACUAUGCACGUCUUGACGGUACCUAAUCAGAAAGCCACGGCUAACUACGUG